GGGCCGUUAGCUCAGCUGGUAGAGUGCCUCCAUGGCAUGGAGGAGGUCAGCGGUUCGAUCCCGCUACGGUCCACCA
rnacentral:tRNA from 1 species